GCGUGGGUGAUGAAGGCCUUCGGGUUGUAAAGCCCUUUCGGCGGGGACGAUGAUGACGGUACCCGCAGAAGAAGCCCCGGCUAACUUCGUGCCAGCAGCCGCGGUAAUACGAAGGGGGCUAGCGUUGUUCGGAAUUACUGGGCGUAAAGGGCGCGUAGGCGGCUCUGUGCGUCGUGCGUGAAAGGCCUGGGCUCAACCCGGGAAUGGCGCUCGAUACGACGGAGCUAGAGUGCAGGAGAGGAUGGUGGAAUUCCCAGUGUAGAGGUGAAAUUCGU
rnacentral:rRNA from 1 species